GACGUAGGAGGCGAGCGUUGUCCGGAUUCAUUGGGCGUAAAGAGCGCGCAGGCGGCUUGGUAAGUCGGAUGUGAAAUCCCGAGGCUCAACCUCGGGUCUGCAUCCGAUACUGCCCGGCUAGAGGUAGGUAGGGGAGAUCGGAAUUCCUGGUGUAGCGGUGAAAUGCGCAGAUAUCAGGAGGAACACCGGUGGCGAAGGCGGGUCUCUGGACAGUUCCUGACACUGAGACACGAAGGCCAGGGGAGCAAACGGG
rnacentral:rRNA from 1 species